rfam:Erinaceus europaeus unplaced genomic scaffold scaffold00298, whole genome shotgun sequence
GGAUCAAUGAUGACUCCCCACUCACACCAGUAUUCCUAGGAAAACCUGAACAAUAUGAGUGAGAACCCCCUCCUUUCUUGGUUUAACCGGCCUGGAUUC